GGAGUCGCUGCCACCUGCCGCCGCAUUGGAACCUUUUUCGACUGCUAAAAAGGUAAAAACUUCUCUUUUUGCUCAAAAUUCAAUUUUAAGCUCACCCAUGGCCAAAUCAAAGCAAAAAGAUCGGUCAAUUGGCUGGAAAACACCGACAAAGCUCGGCGGCACGGCCUAACAAAAUGUCUUUGAUGAGGCCCUUCCCGAUUAUCGUUCUGUGUAAUUUUUCUACCAUUAUGAUCACUGUGUCCUUCUCUAUAUGUUGACUAGAGCAAAACACCCAACCGCAACGUGAGCCGGAGGAGCCGCCGCACCGUAGAGCCCCGCCGCCGGUGAGUUUUGAUUUUUUUGUAUUUUUUGGGCUAACCGAGGCCCUUUAACGUGUUUUCUCGCAGGGAUCGAUGCAAAAUCGGUCAAAUUUGACUGAAACAGCCAAAACAACCGACCCGAGGCAUGUCAUCACCGCAGGCGGCGGCACCGUCGCCGUAACACGGUGGAGCUACCGUGCCGAAAUUUUGAAAUUGGCCAAGUGGGCCCCCGGACUGAUUUUGGGUUUGUUUGGGACAUUUAUAGGUAUUACUAACGCAUUUUAAUUUCUGAAAAAAAAAUUUAGGGAACCUGAGAAUCUCCCGUAGGCACAGUCGAACAGCUUAGCUUUUCGGACAUCAAAUCGAGUAAGGAUCCCUCACUCUAUUCUCUAUCAUAGAAUUGAAGUUUAAAUAAAUAAUAAUAUAGUAUUUUUUGCUAAUUUAAUAAAUGUGCAUAAUUAAUUACGGAUUACUAAUGUAGCUAAAAUCGAAAAUUAUUCUCUGUUGAUUUCUAUUGAUUUAUUUUACAGUUUAAAGGUAUGAUAGUAUCUGAUUUAUCAAUUUUAUGAUUUGAAUGCAUUUAUUGCUGUCUUACGUGAUCACUGUUUAGUUGAAAAAUUGAUAU
rnacentral:lncRNA from 1 species